rnacentral:rRNA from 1 species
AGAGCGAACGCUGGCGGCAGGCUUAACACAUGCAAGUCGAGCGGGCGUAGCAAUACGUCAGCGGCAGACGGGUGAGUAACGCGUGGGAACGUACCUUUUGGUUCGGAACAACACAGGGAAACUUGUGCUAAUACCGGAUAAGCCCUUACGGGGAAAGAUUUAUCGCCAAAAGAUCGGCCCGCGUCUGAUUAGCUAGUUGGUGAGGUAACGGCUCACCAAGGCGACGAUCAGUAGCUGGUCUGAGAGGAUGAUCAGCCACAUUGGGACUGAGACACGGCCCAAACUCCUACGGGAGGCAGCAGUGGGGAAUAUUGGACAAUGGGCGCAAGCCUGAUCCAGCCAUGCCGCGUGAGUGAUGAAGGCCCUAGGGUUGUAAAGCUCUUUUGUGCGGGAAGAUAAUGACGGUACCGCAAGAAUAAGCCCCGGCUAACUUCGUGCUAGCAGCCGC